rnacentral:rRNA from 1 species
CCUACGGGAGGCAGCAGUGGGGAAUUUUGGACAAUGGGCGCAAGCCUGAUCCAGCAAUGCCGCGUGCAGGAUGAAGGCCUUCGGGUUGUAAACUGCUUUUGUACGGAACGAAACGGUGAGCUCUAAUACAGUUUGCUAAUGACGGUACCGUAAGAAUAAGCACCGGCUAACUACGUGCCAGCAGCCGCGGUAAUACGUAGGGUGCGAGCGUUAAUCGGAAUUACUGGGCGUAAAGCGUGCGCAGGCGGUGAUGUAAGACAGAUGUGAAAUCCCCGGGCUCAACCUGGGACCUGCAUUUGUGACUGCAUCGCUAGAGUACGGUAGAGGGGGAUGGAAUUCCGCGUGUAGCAGUGAAAUGCGUAGAUAUGCGGAGGAACACCGAUGGCGAAGGCAAUCCCCUGGACCUGUACUGACGCUCAUGCACGAAAGCGUGGGGAGCAAACAGGAUUAGAUACCCUGGUAGUCCACGCCCUAAACGAUGUCAACUGGUUGUUGGGUCUUCACUGACUCAGUAACGAAGCUAACGCGUGAAGUUGACCGCCUGGGGAGUACGGCCGCGAAGGUUGAAACGUCAAAUGAAUUGACGG